rnacentral:rRNA from 1 species
UCGGGAAUUUUGGGCAAUGGGCGAAAGCCUGACCCAGCAACGCCGCGUGAAGGAUGAAAUCCCUCGGGAUGUAAACUUCGCAAGAACAGGAAGAAUAAGUUUGUGCUAACACCACAAGCGAUGACGGUACUGUUUGUAAGCUCCGGCUAACUCCGUGCCAGCAGCCGCGGUAAUACGGGGGGAGCAAGCGUUGUUCGGAUUUACUGGGCGUAAAGGGCGCGUAGGCGGCCGCCGCAAGUCAGUUGUGAAAUCUCCGAGCUUAACUCGGAAAGGUCAACUGAUACUGCGGGGCUAGAGUGCGGAAGGGGCAACUGGAAUUCUUGGUGUAGCGGUGAAAUGCGUAGAUAUCAAGAGGAACACCUGCGGCGAAGGCGGGUUGCUGGGCCGACACUGACGCUGAGGCGCGAAAGCUAGGGGAGCGAACGGG